AAUCAACGCUGGCGGCGUGCCUCAGACAUGCAAGUCGAACGAUUAAAGCUCUCUUCGGAGAGUGUAUAGAGUGGCGCACGGGUGAGUAACACGUAAGUAAUCUACCUUCGAGUGGGGAAUAACGUCCGGAAACGGACGCUAAUACCGCAUAAUGCAGCGGCAUCGCAAGAUGACAGUUGUUAAAGAUUUAUCGCUUGAAGAGGAGCUUGCGGCAGAUUAGCUAGUUGGUAAGGUAACGGCUUACCAAGGCUACGAUCUGUAUCCGGUCUAAGAGGACGGUCGGACACACUGACACUGAAUAACGGGUCAGACUCCUACGGGAGGCAGCAGGUCGGGAAUUUUGGGCAAUGGGCGAAAGCCUGACCCAGCAACGCCGCGU
rnacentral:rRNA from 1 species